rnacentral:rRNA from 1 species
GUUGAACGCUGGCGGCAGGCCUAACACAUGCAAGUCGAGCGGAUGAAGGGAGCUUGCUCCUGGAUUCAGCGGCGGUCGGGUGAGUAAUGCCUAGGAAUCUGCCUGGUUGUGGGGGAUAACGUCCGGAAACGGGCGCUAAUACCCCAUACGUCCUGAGGGUGAAAGUGGGGGGUCUUCGGACCUCCCGCUUUCAGAUGAGCCUAGGUCGGAUUAGCUAGUUGGUGGGGUAAAGGCCUACCCAGGCGACGAUCCGUAACUGGUCUGAGAGGAUGAUCAGUCACACUGGAAGUGAGAAACAGCACAGACUCCUACGGGGGGCAGCAGUGGAGAAUAUUGGAGGAGGGAGGAAAGCGUGAUCCAGGCAUGCCGCGUGAAUGAAGAAGGUCUUCGGAUUGGAAAGCACUUUAAGUUGGGGGGAAGGACAGUAAGUUAAUACCGUGCUGUAUUGACGGUACCAGAAGAAUAAGCACCGGCUAACUUCGUG